rnacentral:lncRNA from 10 species
ACAUGAUCACAAGGUGAAGUCCCACAAUAGGCCGUCUGUAAGCUGAGGAGCAAGGAGGCCAGUCCAAGUUCCAAAACCUCAAAAGUAGGGAAGCCAAUAAUGCAGCCUUCAGUCUGCGGCCAAAGGCCUGAGAGCCCCUGGCAAACCACUGGUAUAAGUCCAAGAGUCAAAAAGCUGGAGGGGAGGAGCCAAUAUGGCCGAAUAGGAACAGCUCCAGUCUACAGCUCCCAACCUGAGCCACGGAGAAGACAGGAACUUGGGUGAGCAGGCUUAUGGAGUGGAUUCAUCUAACAGAAGCAGAGGAGUAUUCACAGAGAUGAUCCAAAUAUUCAGAAAUAAGUAUGUCCCUGCAGCAGUUGGAAAUUGACAAUUUACAGCUAUACUUAAAUAACACCAUGGCUCUUCUCCACAUAUAAGAAUUUAUCAAAAAAAAAAAAAAACCUUCCCCUUCAGCAAAUUUUCUAGCUUCAGAGCCCUCCUUAAACUUGUCUAUUGUUCCUACUUAAACUCAUUUCAUAUUCUUCCUAAAUAUAGCAAAAAGUUUAAUCAUCUCUCUCUCUCUUUGCCUUUUUAUGGAUAUUCAAUAUUUUAUAGUUUUCAUCAUGUUUUCUCUUCCUAUAAUGUUAUCUUUGCACUCUAUUCCUCCACCCUCCAUCUAUCAUGAAAUACCCAACUAAAAUAGCACUCUCUCUUUUUCAGCCUUCUAUGACUACUUAGAAGCUCACUGGCUCCUCCAAAUAUUUUUUAAAGUAAAGCAUAAUUGAACUUUAUUCUCAAUCAUGUUCUGUCUUAAAUUACUAAUUGUGUCAGUCUUAACACUACAACAGAAUGUAAGCCACUAAAGGCUGAUUAAUC